AAAUUAUAAAAAUCUUCAACAUCAAUGCAAAUUAUUUUGGUAUUUUUUUCAAUCAUCGUCAAUAAUAUCUAAAAAUGAAUCUUAAUCUUUUGUCUUAAUUCUAAUUCUAAAAAUAUUUCUUUGUUGGUUGGUGAACAAUUUUUUUCCGAUUGAAUUAAAUUUUUUCAUUAGUUGAAAUUAGGGGAAGUGCCUGAUUACAAUGAAGAUAAAAAGAAAAAAGAUAGGAGAUGAGCCUAAGCUGAUCAACACUUUCCUAAAUAGAUAGCAUUGCAACUAGUGAUUAAAAUAUUAAAUAACUAGAUGUUCUGUCUUAGGAGGUUGGUCUCCCAAUAUUGCAUUAUGGUUAUCUCUAAUUAAAGGAAAGGAUGAUGCCUUUUGCCUUUGAUGAUUUCUUUAGAGAGAAUAUCUGGUGGCCUCAUGGUUGUUUUUUAAAGAGGCAAUUAAGUUUUUCAUUAAUAUAAAUGAAAGGAAAUGCCCUGAUGAUAAUGGAUAAAAACAAGUUAAUAAAACAUGGAGAUGAGCACUAGGCUCUUCUUGACACUUUCCACUCAGCCACACUGCCUAAUGUAAAUUAGGUUAUCUACCUCAGGAGGUUGGUCUCCCACAUUUGUAUUGUGCUGGUCUCCAAGGGGUGACAACAAUUCUUCUUGAAGCAUUCAGGCUUGAAGGAGAUACUCAUGUCUUUGGUGACCUUAUUGAGUAUUGUUUCUGGUGGUUUGAGAGUGUGCUGUUUUUACCUGCGAUAUCUUUCUGCUCAUGGCAUUCCAUAAUAAGCCCCAGAUUUGUGAGUGAUGUUUUAGUUUUUGACAAGCCUCAGUAAGAUCUUCUAACCUGUUGUCUGAAUGAUUUGUGGUAGGUGUGUAUUUUUAGGAUUUUCCAGAAAAUGUCAUUUAGAUUUUCUACUAAGGUGAUGUAACAUGGCUCUAAAAUAGAUGCAGUUAAAAAAUAGGCAUCCUCUUAUUUCAUCCACUGUAUUGCAGAGAAUGCAAGUGGGUUGGAUAGGCAUACCUCAGCUAUUUAGCCUCACAAAGGUGUUAAGGUGACCCCAUAAAAAAUGGAGAAUUUGGCUGGCUUUUGUGCCAAUAUAUUCUUUUAGCUAGGUUGGCCUCAUGGCUGAUUGGCUGUUGGUAAACAAGUGAUAAUGCAUAAAGAUGUCAUCUUAACCUUUGAAGUUUGAAUGAUCUUUUUUGCAAUUGACUUAUACUGUCUGUUUUAUAAGUUAUAACUAAUUGCUAUUAUUGCUGUGACUUAUAGUAAUAUAAUUAUUUGCACAACUGCCAUUUAACCUCGUUGCUUACAACUGUAAUGAAUCAGAAAUACCAUCCUAUUUCUAUAUUUAAUUUUAAAAAAAUGCAUUUAUUUGCUUUGUCUGUUCUUUUUUUCUUUCCCAAAAUACAAUAUUGACCUUUAUUGUUUUAGUAUUUUAUUUUUAUAUAAAGUAGUGAUUCAUCAUUUAUCAACUAGUAGUGAUAUUUUUAGUUCUGAUUCAUCAACUAGUAGUGAUAUUUUUAUCAACUAGUUUUCAUCCAUUUUAUUAGUGAUACUGUGAGAUUAAAAGAGGUAAAGCGUUUGAGUUGUCUAGAAUAAAGGAUGAAAAGUUCUGUUGUAUUUUUUUAAUAUACCUAUGUGAUUAGAUUUUGAUAGUUUUAGGAAAUAAAUUAUAAAUCAUAGUUCUAAAAAGAAAUACAUACAAAUAUGAAAUAUACAAUCUGGAAAAUGUUAAUUUUCGUUUAUAAAUUUAAGAAUGGAGAAACGAUGAAUGGUGAAUGAAGGAAAUGCUGGAUGGACACAAGAAAGGGAGAAAUGAAUAACAAAGGCUUUAUAGUUUUUAUAAGGAAGGGACUAGGGAAAAUCCUGACUGGACACAAGAAGAGAAAGAACUCAAAGAAGAACACCGAUUGGAAACAAGAAGGGAAGGAAGAAUGCCAACUGGACAGAAAAGAAGAACGUCCAGAGCCGUCAUUCUAUGACAGAAACCAGUGUAUGUUGAUCUCCGAAAUUGUUAUUCUUUUCAGAAUGCUGAGCCGUCUCUGGACUUUUCAGAACGUCCAGAGAUUGCUGAUUUGCUGGAGGUGAUGAUCGAAGAGUGUAGCAUAUAUAUAAGAUUAGAUUAGAGGACAUGUUGGAGAGGAGGAUAUAUGAUUGGUGAGGAAAAAUUGAGUGAGUAAAUAUCUAGAAAAGGAUGAUUCAGAAGACUUCAUACAGAUGAAAUGAUGAAUCCAUUGGGUUUAGACAAUUUCCAAGAAUGAUACCCGAUGAACUGAUGGAAUGGAUGGAACAGAUCCCAACUGAUGAAGAAAUUAAAAACACGCUUAUGAGUUUACCAAGGAAUAAAGCACCGGGUCCGGAUGAUUUUAGUUGCUUAUUUUUCAAGGAUGGAUGGGAGAUUGUAGCCAAAGACUUUAUUUCAGCUAUUAAAUUCUUCUUUACCCAUGGAAAAAUACUAUUACAAACAAAUCAUUGUUUAAUAACUCUGAUUCCCAAGAAGGCGGGUGCAACAAAAAUUGGUGAUUUUAGUCCAAUAUCCUGUUGCAAUACCCUCUUACAAGGUAAUUUCAAAGAUACUGACAGUCUUAAAAGAGUGCCACCUCACGUAGUAUCAGAGAAUCAAUCAGCUUUCAUUGAAGAAGGGUUGUUGGUGGAUAACUUUCUACUGACCACAAAAUUUCUAAAGGGAUUCAAUAUAAAGAGUGGCCCAAGGAGAGCUUGCCUUAAAGUAGAUAUUGCCAAAGCCUUUGAUAGCGUGGACUGGUUUGACACUUUGGCCUGGAAAUGACUAUGGUCUCAAUGGGGUUUGGACAAAUAUUCAUUAACUACGUUAGAGAAUGUGUAAGCACAACCUCCUAUUCGGUAUUAGUGGAUGGAUCUAGAGGGUUAAGACAAGGAAGACCCCCUAUCCCCCUUUCUCUUCAACUUGAUUAUGGAACAUUUCAGUCUUAGCUUGAAGGAGAAAGCUAAUGCAGGAGAACUUCGGCAAUAUAAGAUCAAAUGGGUAGUGGUGGACACACAUCUAAUGUACGAUGAUGUGGUCAUCUUCGCUAAGGCUACUGAAAGAAUCAUGAAGUUGGUGAAAAUUUGCCUUGGAUGAACUUUUUUUAUUUACUAGUAUUGGGCCUGUAAAUGGUAUACCGGAAUCCGUAUUCGUAUCCGCAUUUGAAUUCGAAUAUGACUAUCCGGAUUCGGAUAUCUGGAAAAUCCGCCGUUAAAAUCCGAAUUCGUUUAAGAAUUCCGGAUUCGGAUAUCCGAAUAAAUAUAAAUUGACUUCCAGAUGUCCGGAUAAUCCGGAUUUUAGGGUGACUAAUUGACUAUUAAUUAACUUUAUUAAUGGUGAUUUUAUAUUUUUAUAAUUUUAUUUUAAGAUUUUUAUAAAAAGUUAUUCGGAUUCGAAUUUUCCUAUCCGGAUUUUAUUCGGUCGGAUUCGGAUUAUCCACAUAUUAUCCGGAUUCGGAUUCAGAUACCUGGGUAUCCGAGCUGAAUCCGACCGAUAUACAGGCUUAACUGGUAUGAAGAUCAAUGCAGAAAAAUCUAAUAUCUUUCUAGCUGGUUAUUGCAACGAUAAAGAUGCUAUCCUUACACAAAUUGGAUUCAAGGUGGGGUAGUUGCCGACUUGCCAUGCAAAUACUUGGGUCUACAUGACUACAUCUAUCAGGAACAGCCAUAAGAAGUAUUGACUGUGAAGGCAUGAUAAAGGGGUUAUCUGUUAUGUGUACAAACUGAAAGACUAAAGGAUUAUCAUAUGCAGGAAAAUUACAAUUGCUAAAAUGGGGUGUAUCGAAAAAUUAUGUUUUGGGUGAUGUCGUGUAAGCGACCAAAUAGGACAGUCCAAGGUUUUUUAGGCGACCAUGCGGUCAUGCGAUGGCCAUGACCGCAUGGCCGCCUAGGCGGUCGCCUGAAAAUAGGGUAAAUUUUGCAAAUUUACCCUGAACUUAUAUAUAUUUGCUAAAAAAUAUGGGUAAAUUCAGAAACAUUUAAAAAAAUAUAUACAUAAAUUUUAAAACCUGAAAUUACUAAUACAAAGUAAUAGACCUAUUAAUCUAAAAUUUAAAAUGUAAAUACAUAGAUUAUAAGACUUCUAUGAAUUUAGGGUUAGAAAGGUGCAAGAAACAAGAAAGAAAAGAGGUUAGGGUUUUUUAAAACCCUCAACCUCUUAUUUAAAUGACUUAAGUCAUUUAAAUGGGCCUUAAAUGGGUGGUUGGGCCUUAUAUUUAAAUUAAAAUAAAACAGACCUAUUGGGUUAGGCGGGUCUGGGUCAGAUCCGACCCGGAUCCGCCUAACCCGCUCCAGCGCAUGAAGGCAAACGCCUACAUGCGCUGGAGCGCAUGGUCGCCUAGGCGUCGCAUGAAAAAGCUUGGGACAGUCAGGCUCAUUCAAAGAGUGAUCUACAUAUGUUUGUGGGGUUCUUCAAAUCAGAUUUCAUGAUAUCAAUGUGCUAGGCCUCUUAUUGAAGGCGGGCUCGGCCUAAGGCGCAUAGAGGAUUGUUGUAAAGCUUCCAAGGUCAAAAGAUUUUGGAGAAUAUCUACAAGGGAUGAAUACAUAUGGUCAAAAUGGAUAAAAAAGAGAUACUCGACAACAACUUGGGGCAUAGUUCAAAGACACCCUGAUGAUUCUCAUAUCUAGAAAGAAAUAGUGGAUAGUAGAUCACAGAUUGAUAGUUGCAUUAAUCAAGACCAAAACUCAGUAUGGCAUUGGUGGGAGCACAAACCAUCUUUUGCAUCCGCAUAGGAAAGGGACAAGAGAGAAAAAUUUACUUGACAGAUGUGCGGAAGGGUUAUAGGUCCAUGGAAUGAAUAAAUUUUCCUUGUGUGG
rnacentral:lncRNA from 1 species